GCGGGGUGAGCGGGGACAGCCAGCCCUUCAAGCUCGCAGCUGAGUGCCUGUGGAGAGCUUCCUUCAGGAAUAAAUGUUCUGUAAAGUACAUUUUCGGAGGAGGCGAGGGCAGAUCGGGUUCCUCCCCAUUUUUAGCGCAGACUCGGGUGACCCGGACAAGGAAAGUCCUGGCUGUAAAAGAAGACGAACCCGCACCAAUUUUACUGGCUGGCAGCUCGAGGAGCUGGAAAAG